rnacentral:rRNA from 1 species
GUGAACGCUGGCUGUAGGCCUAACACAUGCAAGUCGAACGGCAGCACAGUAAGAGCUUGCUCUUACGGGUGGCGAGUGGCGGACGGGUGAGGAAUACAUCGGAAUCUACUUUUUCGUGGGGGAUAACGUAGGGAAACUUACGCUAAUACCGCAUACGACCUACGGGUGAAAGCAGGGGAUCUUCGGACCUUGCGCGAUUGAAUGAGCCGAUGUCGGAUUAGCUAGUUGGCGGGGUAAAGGCCCACCAAGGCGACGAUCCGUAGCUGGUCUGAGAGGAUGAUCAGCCACACUGGAACUGAGACACGGUCCAGACUCCUACGGGAGGCAGCAGUGGGGAAUAUUGGACAAUGGGCGCAAGCCUGAUCCAGCCAUACCGCGUGGGUGAAGAAGGCCUUCGGGUUGUAAAGCCCUUUUGUUGGGAAAGAAAAGCAGCAGGUUAAUACCCCGCUGUUCUGACGGUACCCAAAGAAUAAGCACCGGCUAACUUCGUG